ACGGGAGGCGCAGUGAGGAAUAUUGCGCAAUGGGGGAAACCCUGACGCAGCGACGCCGCGUGAAGGACGAAGGUCUUCGGAUUGUAAACUUCUGUCUUCAGGGAAGAAACAAAUGACGGUACCUGGGGAGGAAGCCCCGGCUAACUACGUGCCAGCAGCCGCGGUAAUACGUAGGGGGCGAGCGUUGUCCGGAUUUAUUGGGUGUAAAGGGUGCGUAGGCGGAUAUGUAAGUCUAACGUGAAAACUACAGGCUCGACUUGUAGCUUGCGUUUGAUACUGUGUAUCUUGAGUAAAGUAGAGGUAAGUGGAAUUUCCAGUGUAGCGGUGAAAUGCGUAGAUAUUGGAAGGAACACCAGUGGCGAAGGCGACUUACUGGGCUUUCACUGACGCUGAGGCACGAAAGCGUGGGUAGCAAACAGGAUUAGAUACCCUGGUA
rnacentral:rRNA from 1 species